rnacentral:rRNA from 1 species
UACGUAGGGGGCUAGCGUUGUCCGGAAUUAUUGGGCGUAAAGAGCGUGUAGGCGGUCCGGUAAGUCAGCUGUGAAAGUCAAGGGCUCAACCCUUGAAAGCCGGUUGAUACUGUCGGGCUAGAGUCCGGAAGAGGCGAGUGGAAUUCCCGGUGUAGCGGUGAAAUGCGCAGAUAUCGGGAGGAACACCAAUGGCGAAGGCAGCUCGCUGGGACGGUACUGACGCUGAGACGCGAAAGCGUGGGGAGCAAACAGG